AUAAAAGCCACUAUAUUUAGUGGGCAUUUCCCAGACAUCCUUCACCAGUGUGGAAUAAGCAGAGCAAAGCACUCAGAGCCUUGGACCAUGCUGCUCCUCUGCUAGAACACAGUGCCAGAAACAACCAGGUUGCAAGCCUCUAGUUUGUCCUUCCUGCAGCAAAGCAUCAGUUUGCAAAGGAAUGCGAGACAUCCAGGACACCCCAGCCUCCAGUCAUGUUAACAGCUCCCUCGCACAUGAAACACUUUUUCCUCAAAGGCCAAAGUCAGCAGGACUGCCAGCAGCAACGUGCUCUUCCCAUUCCCAUUCAUCUGCCAGCCCCAGCCCAAGGACACCUUGCUGCCUGUUUCAGGCCUCUUGGGCUUGGAAAGGUUUUGCCCACCUGCUUGAAGAGGAUUUCCUGCACGUUUCACCUGUGAUGGUCACACAGUGCUGAGGCCCCAGCACAGCGCUGGGAGGACUCCGCAGUCUCAGACACCACAAGAGGGUGCUGCGAGCGAGCGGGGAGCGUGACCGAGAUAAGGCUGCAGAGCUGCAGAG